UAUGGCAGAUUAGUGCAUUGGAAUUAAAACCCAAUUAUAAAGAAUUCUUUUAUUAGAA
rnacentral:tRNA from 2 species